GUGAGGUGAUGACAAAGUUUAUCCAUUCUCUGAGUGCAGUGGUGCUGCCCUCCUGCAGCACCCUGAUUCCUGUUCUAGGGUCUGGGUGCUGUGCAGCCUCCAGAGACCCUCCAGUCUCCCAGUGUCCUACUGGGGGCUGCUGUGGUGUGUGGCUGGCUGCCUGCAGGAGUGAAGUGGUGCCAG
rnacentral:snoRNA from 1 species